GAUGAACGCUAGCGGCAGGCUUAAUACAUGCAAGUCGAGGGACAGCACAGGUAGCAAUACUGGGUGGUAACCGGCAAACGGGUGCGGAACACGUACACAACCUUCCUUUAAGUGGGGGAUAGCCCAGAGAAAUUUGGAUUAAUACCCCGUAAUAUAGUUGAAUGGCAUCAUUUGAUUAUUAUAGCUACGGCGCUUAAUGAUGGGUGUGCGGCUGAUUAGAUGGUUGGCGGGGUAACGGCCCACCAAGUCUACGAUCAGUAGCUGAUGUGAGAGCAUGAUCAGCCACACGGGCACUGUGACACGGGCCCGACUCCUACGGGAGGCAGCAGUAAGGAAUAUUGGUCAAUGGGCGCAAGUCUGAACCAGCCAUGCCGCGUGAAGGAUUAAGGUCCUCUGGAUUGUAAACUUCUUUUAUUUGGGACGAAAAAGGGCCUUUCUAGGUCAACUGACGGUACCAGAUGAAUAAGCACCGGCUAACUCCGUGCCAGCCGCCGCAGUAACAC
rnacentral:rRNA from 1 species